UCGACUGCUUUUGCAACACGGCAUGAGUCUGCAAUCACAUCAAAGUAAAAGUUAAAAAUAUAACAUGGUGAUUGCAAUGGAUUGAAACACUUCUGAGACAUAAACAUCCGUUGAUGAGCGAAAGUCCUUCUUGAUGGAGGAACUCCAGAAAAUCACUGCAGGAGGAAUUAUGGGAUCAGCAAACCACUAAUGAGCUCGUGAAUGGAGGCAGCGCUGCCGAAAUCUCUAGGUGAAAGUAGAUGAUCCUGGGGAAAGUACAUCCUCUCCUUGAGUCUGGAGUCAAUGAGAACUCUGGCGCUGGGACUCCGUGAGUAUGCAGGGUCUGGUGGGGGGAGGUGCUUGGAGGGGGAUGGGAGCCACCACCCCACCCCACCCCCGCUGGGCAGGCGCCUGCAGCCACCACCCACUUCUUAUACUCCUGGAACACGAUGAAGAGGAUGUGCACAGCGAUGCUGUUGAGAGCGUAUG